ensembl:lncRNA
GGCAAAUUACCUUCCUCCUCCCAUCAGCUCCCCGCUUCCCCAAAAAGAGCUCCUCAUCCAAACAUCACACUACUUACUUACUUACUUACUCUCACUCACUCACUCACUCACUCUCACUCACUCACUCACUCACUCACUCACUCACUCACUCACUCACUCACUCACUCUCACUCACUCACUCACUCACUCUCUCUCUCUCUCUCUCUCUCUCUCUCUCUCUCUCUCUCUCUCUCUCUCUCUCUCUCUCUCUCUCUCUCUCUCUCUCUCUCACACAGCCACUGUCUGUCCAGAAUUAAGAAGCACUUUUCAGAGGUGACAGUGACACUGCUGCUACAUUGACACGUCUUCAAAUCACAGCGCCCGCUUGGCACAAAAUGCUGAAUUAAACCAAUAAGAUACAAUGCAGCAACCAUUAUUUCAACAAAUCGAUAUCUUGUCAAAAUUCAACACUUCCUUUUAGUCUUCUCUGCACCAGAUUGAUAGUGCCGUCUCUUCAUUUUCAAACAUUAACGCACACAACUGACACAAGCAAUUAAAUUUAUCAAAGUUAUUGUUACCAAACGUUACUGUCUGAACCCAUGGCAUGAGGCCCUCUGGUGGCCAUGUGGCCCGAUGUAUCCACUUAUGUCGGUUAUUAGGUAGGGCUGGCCCUGGGUGUUACCAUAGGGUUCUUUGUGAUCUCCCAUGAUAUUUUUCCCAGUGCCCCUGGAGUGAUUUUCAUUGAACAACCACUUUUUGGGAGAGUAACAGCAGUGCUGACUUCCCUCCAUCUGCCUCAACUUUAAAGAACUUUCAAAUUUAUACUUAAAAUCAAAUAACAUGCUGUAAGACUACAAAAUAUUUAACUUUUCAAGAUGAAUGAGAGAAAAAUAUUAGCAGAUUGUUCAACUUAAUUUUCCAUAGUAAUGAGCAACUUAGGACUGUUUCCAUUAGGAAAAAAAUAUUUGGCUUCUGUUUAUUAACAUGUCUCAGUAAAAAACAAAAAGCAUUAACAAGCAAGGGUCUAUGGGAUGAACUGUGAAGAUGCAGCAUUCAGAUAAAACCUGAGGUGUGAGAUGUAGGGCAGACACUGAAGGAAACUCCUCACUUCACUCUCUUCAUCUGAGCAGUCUCUCAGCUCCACUGGUUUCUUCUCUGUUUGGAGUUUCAGCACUUCUAGGAGGAGGGAGACUUUUCUCUCUGAGAGGUUUAUGGACCAGAUUGCAGGACCUGACUGGUAAACUGGCAGCAAUGCUGGAAGGACUCUCCUGCCUGUUUCACUCUCAUACUGCUUCACACGUGAGUACAGAUCCAGCAGGAAAUCACUCAGUAUGUCAUAAUAAUAAUAAUAGUCUCCAUAUUCAGUAAAUGUGAUCACUUUCUGCACUGUCUGCAGGAUGUUAUGUGGUUGGUGUAGAGCUGCUUGCAGACACAAAUCCAGUAGAAAUGUUCUACAUCUCUUUUCUGGUUCUUUCUCUCCCUGUUUAGAGUCAAACCUGGAGAAAAGUGAAAGACUCACAUUAUUAC